UACGGGGGGGGCAAGCGUUGUUCGGAAUUACUGGGCGUAAAGGGCUCGUAGGCGGCCAACUAAGUCAGACGUGAAAUCCCUCGGCUUAACCGGGGAACUGCGUCUGAUACUGGAUGGCUUGAGGUUGGGAGAGGGAUGCGGAAUUCCAGGUGUAGCGGUGAAAUGCGUAGAUAUCUGGAGGAACAUCAGUGGCGAAGGCGGCCUGCUGGGCUGUUGCUGACGCUGAGGCGCGACAGCGUGGGGAGCAAACAGG
rnacentral:rRNA from 1 species